rnacentral:misc_RNA from 1 species
GUAACAAGGUUUCCGUAGGUGAACCUGCGGAAGGAUCAUUAAGUAAUUUGAUAUACUUCGGUAUAUUCUCUUUUACUGUGAACUGUAUUAUUGCAUGACGCUUGAGGGAUGUCUAUAGAUCAUAUGGGUAGGUCUAGAGAAUGUUAACCGAGUCAUGAUCAAGCUUAGGCUUGUUGCCCUAUUAUUAUUUACCAAAAGAAUUCAGUAUUAAUAUUGUAACAUAGACGUAAAAAAUCUAUAAAACAACUUUUAACAACGGAUCUCUUGGUUCUCGCAUCGAUGAAGAACGUAGCAAAGUGCGAUAACUAGUGUGAAUUGCAUAUUCAGUGAAUCAUCGAGUCUUUGAACGCAUCUUGCACUCAUUGGUAUUCCAAUGAGUACGCCUGUUUCAGUAUCAAAAACACCCCACAUUCAAAUCUUUUUUUGAAUGGAACUUGGAGUUACAGUUUUACGACCGUACUCUUUAAUUAUAUUAGGCCUGAUCUUGUUUAGACUGCCUGAACUUUUUUUUAAUAUAAAGGAAAGUUUUGACAAAAUAAACUGUGCUGGGGCCUUUAAACAAUCUUUCUUAAACUUGAUCUGAAAUCAGGCGGGAUUACCCGCUGAACCUAAGCAUAUC